GAGUGAUGAUGUUUUAAACCUAUUCCAUUUCUGAAAUAACCUGUGGAAAAAAAAAACCAACUGAACUC
rnacentral:snoRNA from 1 species